UUUCUUUCAGAUGCAGACGGAUUAAAUCCGUGGCGGAGGACCCCACACCGGAUGAGGGGGUUCCUGCAGGAAGGAGGUAAAGCCAGAUCUCAGCAGUCAAGGUCAAGUGAGUGAGGCGGUCCACUUGUAUUGUGCUGAACCCCCUCAGCGACUGGCUGACGGACCUGGCUCGCUGCCCUCGUGAGCCCUCCCCAGGUGUACCUUGCGACGGCGGUGUCGGCCUCGAAGCGCGGCCGAAGCGUGUGGCCUGAGAACCCCUGCCAUCUUAGGAGAUGCCACCCAAGAGACAACAGCCUGAUGACAGCAGGAGCUUCCCGGAUGGCGAGGCGGCCUUCUUUUGCACCCGAGGAGGAUUCGCAGCCCCGGGCUUCUGAGAGAUAAGUUGAGGGCUAAGACCCACAGAGGGUAUGAAAGCCAGGUGUCGGGUCGGGACUCACCGGGAGGGAUUUUUGAGCCGGCUUUGGAGACGGGAAUACCCAAGAAGGGGUCCCUUAGCCCACAUAAAGGGAAGUAUCACUUUUGAUCACAAUUGCACAGGGCAGAGCAAUCCCAGUGCAUGUCGUGUCACCUGUCUAUUGUUAUGUUCUUUUGGGCAUCUUGUCUCUUCUGCCUUAGCCCUUCGAUGUGCUUGCAGUUGUUCUUUUCACAGAGAGUUUUCUC